ensembl:lncRNA
ACUGCUUAGUUCAAGGCUGUGGUUAGGGCUGACACCCCUGGGGCGGGUGUGGGCAUCCCUGACAUCGCAGCAGUGGUUUGGUUUACACAGGCUGUUUGAUGGCAGGGGUGAACCUGGGGAACCUUCAGAGGAUUGGUUGUGUUAACCCCGGCUUCCUGGGGCUGGGGGAGCCCUCCCUCAUCUCUGCAGCGUUGGGGCGCAGAGGCUGCAGGAUCAGGAUUGGUGUGGGCGAGGAGGGAGGGGAAGGGGCCAUGCUGACAGCAGAGCUGCGCCUCCUGUCAGAGCGGCCUCAAGACCAGCCAUGAAGUAACCUGGGGACACUGAGCCAAGUUGUCCUUGUCCAUCCUGGGGUCAAGCUGAACUCCACUGCACUGACACGGAAAAGGGAAGGCAGGGCUGCUUCCCCUCAAGAGCCUUCACCUCAUGCCACCUGGAGGCCCUCUCCCGUGGGUCACCCACUCCCAAGGUGUUUCUGCUCUACUCCGUUCUGCAAAGAAACAGGAAGUGGCCGGUGCUGCACAGAGAGAGGUGCUGGCCAGGAGCCUAGAAUCUUCCCUCUGCUUUGGGAAGAAAUGUGAAGAUGGUCUGCGUUUGGAGCGAGCCCAGGGCGGAGGACGUUUGUCUGACAGCGUGGGCAGUUCAGCUCCUGCCCCAUCCUGCCAAGCAAUGGCCCAGGAACUGGCUGUCGGCAAAGGUGCUUUUGAGUGUUUAUGGGGUUGCCCUAAAGAGCUCAGUAUGCAGGGGCAGAGUGAGGCCUCUCAGCUGCUGCACCCCCCAGGGGUGGGACACAGGUGUCACGCUCGGCCACCGCCCAAGAAUGUGCAAAGGGGGUCAUCCUGAGGGAAAGAGCUGUCGCUGCGACCUGUGCGAUUUUUGUUUGGGGACAUUUUUACUGUGCACGGAGCGGCAGGAACAGCACAGUGCUCCCCCAGGUAGCUGCCCACCCUACCCGACCAGUACUCCUCUCGCUUCCUGCUGGAUUAUUUCAAACCAAAUCCAGGCACUGUACCAUUUCCCAUAAACAAGCAUACAUCUCUAAAAUAUAAGAGCUAUUUUUACCACAUGAUAAUCGUUCCCACGCUUUAAAACAGUAAGCCCUCAAAAUCCUUGUAUAUGUGUGUGUCAGUAGGACCUUGUUGUCUCUGGAUUGUUUUACUCUUUUUGCUUAGAAUUCAAAUCCAGAUAAAAUCAAUGGACUGUCUGGUUAGUUACGCGUAAAGCUGACCUGCAGGCCGCCCCUCCCCCCUUUCUUUGUCUUUUCCUUGCAGUUUUGCUGCUGGAGGAACUGGCUCAGCAUGUUAAAGAGUUUUCCACACUGUCUGCAUUUGGCUGAAUUCGUUUUCUCUGACCUUGCGUGUUCUGUGAACUUGUGGUGAGAUGGAGACACAGUCCGAUUUCAGUUCGAGCCUUGGGGGAGGUCCUCACGGGCCAUGUGCUCCACCACCCGCGCCUGACGUCUGCUCACUCCCUUGUGUGCGCUGUGCAGCUGCUGGUGACACCUGUGCCCCACUGGGACUUGCAAGUGGCAACAGCAGAUCACACCACUCCUUUAUGUUUGUUUAGCCAACGUGCUCUACACAGAGAAACUCCUCCUUGUCCGCUAUUUGACUGACAUUCAGAUGUACAGGAAAGUGCCUCACUGCUUGCUCCUCUUCCUCUAUUUGCUGGUACUGUGUGGUGGCACAUGUCUGCAAUCCCAGUGCCGCAGGAGGCUGAAGCAGGCAGGAAGACCACAGGCGCAAGCCCACCCUGGGCUCCUAAUGGCUUAGUGAGGCCCUGGCUUAGAAUAACAAAAAGUAAAAGAGGCCUUGGCAUGCAGCUUGGCGCAAAGGCCUUGGGCUCAGCCCCCAGCACUGCACUACAGCAGCGACAACAACACAGCAACAAUGUGUCCUCUAGGCCCAACAAAUGUGAUCAAUGAAGUUUCCACCGAUACGAUUUUAAAUGCAGCAAACUAAAUUCAGGGGUUUUUUUCUGUUUUAAAAAGUUGAUAUAUUUAACAGCUGUGUUAAUAAAUUCAACCUUUACUAUUAUAGAACACUAUAACAACUGCUUAUCUAUAACAACUUCUAAAUAAGUAUUACUUGAAUUUUACUAAAAUAUUGGUAAUCAUAUACAUUGAAGACUAGAAGUGAUGUCAGAAAUAAUUUAGUACGGGCUGGGGAUUUAGCUCAGUGAUUCCAUCACCUGCCUCGCAAGCACAAGGUCCUGAGUUUGAUCCCCAGUACCAGAAAAACAAAAAAGAAAGAAAGAAAUAAUUUAGUACAAAAGCUUAUAGGUAAAAGACAUCAAGCCCCAAAGAAGCUAGAAGACCGCUACAGAAUAUACAGGGUUACACUAUGAGAGUCCAACUACCUAGUAAAGAAUGGUCAUAACUUCUGGAUUGUUACUGUUAAAGUUUGUUUUCUUUCUGCUACAUACUGCCUGGGAUGAAAUGUUAUGAAUUUCCCCCUGAAAUUUAAUAGUGCGAUUUGCAUUAAUAGCAA